GAGUUUGAUCCUGGCUCAGGACGAACGCUGGCGGCGUGCCUAACACAUGCAAGUCGAACGGAGAAUCGCAACUGUAACGGACAAAGCUUGCUUUGGAAAUUACGCCCGUGAUUCUUAGUGGCGGACGGGUGAGUAACGCGUGAGCAACCUGCCUUUGAGAGGGGAAUAACAACCGGAAGCGGUUGCUAAUACCGCAUAAUGUCAAAGAGCCGCAUGACUAAUUGACCAAAGAUUUAUCGCUCAAAGAUGGGCUCGCGUCUGAUUAGAUAGUUGGUGGGGUAACGGCCUACCAAGUCGACGAUCAGUAGCCGGACUGAGAGGUUGAACGGCCACAUUGGGACUGAGAUACGGCCCAGACUCCUACGGGAGGCAGCAGUGGGGAAUAUUGCACAAUGGGCGCAAGCCUGAUGCAGCAACGCCGCGUGCGGGAAGACGGUCUUCGGAUUGUAAACCGCUUUUCUUCGGGAAGAAACAAAUGACGGUACCGAAGGAAUAAGCAUCGGCUAACUACGUGCCAGCAGCCGCGGUAAUACGUAGGAUGCAAGCGUUGUCCGGAAUUACUGGGUGUAAAGGGAGCGCAGGCGGGACUGCAAGUUGGAUGUGAAAUGUCGAGGCUUAACCUCGGAACUGCAUCCAAAACUGUAGUUCUUGAGUGGAGUAGAGGCAAGCGGAAUUCCGAGUGUAGCGGUGAAAUGCGUAGAUAUUCGGAGGAACACCAGUGGCGAAGGCGGCUUGCUGGGCUCUAACUGACGCUGAGGCUCGAAAGUGUGGGGAGCAAACAGGAUUAGAUACCCUGGUAGUCCACACUGUAAACGAUGAUUACUAGGUGUGGGGAGUCUGACCCUUUCCGUGCCGCAGUUAACGCAAUAAGUAAUCCACCUGGGGAGUACGAUCGCAAGAUUGAAACUCAAAGGAAUUGACGGGGGCCCGCACAAGCAGUGGAUUAUGUGGUUUAAUUCGAAGCAACGCGAAGAACCUUACCAGGGCUUGACAUCCAACUAACGAGGCAGAGAUGCGUUAGGUGCCCUUCGGGGAAAGUUGAGACAGGUGGUGCAUGGUUGUCGUCAGCUCGUGUCGUGAGAUGUUGGGUUAAGUCCCGCAACGAGCGCAACCCUUAUUGUUAGUUGCUACGCGAGAGCACUCUAGCGAGACUGCCGUUGACAAAACGGAGGAAGGUGGGGACGACGUCAAAUCAUCAUGCCCCUUAUGUCCUGGGCUACACACGUAAUACAAUGGCGCACACAGAGGGAAGCAAAACCGCGAGGUGGAGCAAGUCCCUAAAAGGCGUCUCAGUUCGGAUUGCAGUCUGCAACUCGACUGCAUGAAGUCGGAAUUGCUAGUAAUCGCGGAUCAGCAUGCCGCGGUGAAUACGUUCCCGGGCCUUGUACACACCGCCCGUCACACCAUGAGAGCCGGGAACACCCGAAGUCCGUAGUCUAACCGCUAGGAGGGCGCGGCCGAAGGUGGGUUUGGUAAUUGGGGUGAAGUCGUAACAAGGUAGCCGUUCGAGAACGAGCGGCUGGAUCACCUCCUU
rnacentral:rRNA from 1 species